AGUGAACGCUGGCGGUAGGCCUAACACAUGCAAGUCGAACGGCAGCACAGUAAGAGCUUGCUCUUACGGGUGGCGAGUGGCGGACGGGUGAGGAAUACAUCGGAAUCUACUUUUUCGUGGGGGAUAACGUAGGGAAACUUACGCUAAUACCGCAUACGACCUACGGGUGAAAGCAGGGGAUCUUCGGACCUUGCGCGAUUGAAUGAGCCGAUGUCGGAUUAGCUAGUUGGCGGGGUAAAGGCCCACCAAGGCGACGAUCCGUAGCUGGUCUGAGAGGAUGAUCAGCCCCACUGGAACUGAGACACGGUCCAGACCCCUACGGGAGGCAGCAGUGGGGAAUAUUGGACAAUGGGCGCAAGCCUGAUCCAGCCAUACCGCGUGGGUUAAGAAGGCCUUCGGGUUGUAAAGCCCUUUUGUUGGGAAAGAAAAGCAGCAGGUUAAUACCCCGCUGUUCUGACGGUACCCAAAGAAUAAGCACCGGCUAACUUCGUG
rnacentral:rRNA from 1 species